GCAGUCGUGGCCGAGUGCAUGGUUAAGGCGAUGAACUGGAAAUCCAUUGGGGUCUCCCCGCACAGGUUCGAAUCCUGUCGACUGCG
rnacentral:tRNA from 1 species